GUAAGACCGAGCAUCGCCUACUGGAUUUCUCUCAGCCUUAUGGCGAUGAUAGCGGUCUUUACUUCGUAGUCUGUGGUCUUACGCCCACAUUUGAAAAAUUGACAAUGGAUAUCAGUCUGUGUGUCAAUCUGUGUGUUAAUAAUCUCGUUGUUACAGAAGAAUCGUAGAAUGGUUUAUUAAAAAAGGUGCUGCAGAGUCAAAUAUCAAUAGAAAAAGUAAUGUGACAGCCAAGUUAGUGGGUGUAGCUGAGCUAGAGCUACUAAAAGAAGAAAACUGAAGACUAAAAUAAAUUGUAUAAAAAAUAGGGAAACCACCAUAUUGUGAAUGGAUCUCUAAACUGUUUGGGCAGCUAUGGGGAAAAGAGAGAUUGAAGUGUGUCAGCAGCUAGCCUCCUUAAAAGAAAAAUUAAUUCAAAUGAAUACACAGUAUUCAAAACAGCUGGAAGCAUUAAGACAGAAAUGAAGUUCAAGGAAUUAGAUUUCGCGAAAAUACAUAACAAGUGCACGAAGAAUGAACAGAAUGCUAAAGCUAAACAAAAAGAAUAAAAUACUUCCAACCUCCCCCCACAAAGAUGUUUAAGGAAAUACCUAAAGUUGGAGGUCAAUACAUUUUUUUCUUGUUGCAAGUUUUGUAAAACAAAUGGUAAUCUGGUAAAAUAAAGCAACACAUGACCUAUCACCUUGGAUCAAUUGUUUUCACAAGUGAAGAUUGAUUCCACAAUCUUCAGCUUCCCAGGCAGACACCCAUCCACAAAGCCAUGGUGAUAGAUAUAAAAAAUUUAUCUUUUAUGUUUUUGAUUCCAGAUUCAGAGAACAAUGUGUGGAAUCUAAUAUUCUAGCCCUGUAAACCCCAGCUGUUCUUCUGCUUCAACAAGGCUAUAAAGCAAUUAUAAUUUCAGGAGGUCUUAAUUCAGUUUACGUGGCGGAUGCCCCACUAUACGACCCAGCAAUCUUUACUUGCGGUCUUCCAAUGCCGGUAAUUUGUUAUGCAUGCAAUUAAUCAACAAGGAAUUAGGCGGAAUGGUGGAGAGAAAAGAUGUUCGUGAAGAUGGGCUAUUCGAGAUCCAAGUAGAAACGGAGUGUCCAUUGUUUAAAGGCUUAGAGACUCGGCAAAUGGUAUUACUGAACAAUGGUGACAGCGUAGACAAGGUUGCAUUAAUCUUAAUGCCUGGUGUAAAAUUACAGUACGAAAAAUGUUGCGUAACUUCUUGUUCGACAUUUGUGGAUUGCAAGUAGGUUUCACAUUGGAGAAACGCGAGCAGCAGUGUAUCGAUUACAUCCGGCGCACGGUCGGACGUGAUAAGAUCGUGCUCAUGCUGGUAAGCGGUGGAGUCGAUUUCGCCAAUUUCCAUGAAUUUUGAAUUUUUGCCCUUUUCCAUGAAGCACUUCUACGGGUGAUAACUCGUCGCGAGUGCAGGGCAUUUACAUCGAUAACGGUUUCCUGCGUAAAGACGAAUCCGAACAGGUCGUCGCUAGUUUAUAGCAACUCGGGUCAUUCUUCGGGUAAUUUGAGAUACUUUUCUGGACGGUUCAGGAUCUCGUGAAGUCAAAUAAAUAAAGAAAAAUUUAUUUUGCUUCAUUACUGCCAUUUAAAUUAUGAAAACCGAUUUCCUUUUAAUAAUUUUCACUUACGUGCUUACGUCAACGCGACUCUUAAAGCAGAUUACUAUUUAUUUUUUUAUUAUUAUUUUUAUACGUCUAGGUGGCUUGUUGCCACUGGUUGCAGCUUACGGGCCGUAAUUGUAAGGGCCCUUACACACCGUAACUAUUUCUUUUUUCUCACGUUUGGCUUCAUAGUGGGUGGCGCCUUGAGCGUUGCUGUAUUUUCAAGACAUCUAGGGGAGAAAUAACUAACUCCGUAGAAUGUUUAUGGACGUGUCAGCUGUCCCGUCAGCUGUUCCAUUUUGCGUGUCUUCGGACUGAUGGUGGAUGAUUAAACGAACGUCUCUGUUCUUGAAAUUUCACCACCAAUUCCGUGCGUUUUGAGAAGCAUCGCAAUUCAAUCAAUGCAAAGUUGUUCAAGGAGGACCAUGGCUUUGCUAGGACGUUUUUCAUCUCUGUUAGUCUUAUACACCCAUUUUGUACCAAAGGUGACAUGUGAAAAAAAGUUGUUCUUUAUAAUCUAUUUCCCUAUCUCAAUCUCUUAGAUUUUUGUAGGUGUUAUCAGGUGAUGUUAGAAUUUAUUGUUAAUAGUUUAAGGUUUUGUAAUUGUGCUUUCAGGUCUUUGGGAUGUACUGAUGUUCUGUGGUGGCCGCAAAAUCAUUCAGUGACUUGGUUCAAUCCAGGAUUUGGUUUUUUCAAAAGUGGUAAACAGUUUUAAUUUGCAGAGAUCCUGGAGGUACCUGAUGUGUUGCAUUAGCGUUGGAGUUGCUCGGUGAGAGAAUGGAAUGCAACCAAUGUUAUGUUGUUAGUGUAAAUAAAACAUAUCUAGUAUCA